rnacentral:ncRNA from 1 species
AAAAUCCCAACACCGAAGCCUGCGGCUAGGCAAUGGGGUGUUCAGGUCGUUCCGCGGGGUGCUGCUCCAUUCUAAGUCCAGCAAUGAGUACGGUAAUGCUGAAAUGACCCAAAGAGGGUGAAAGGCCCGUUGGGGUAGAGAGAUAGAAAUGACAGCACCUUCCUGGAUAGACCUCUUGGCGUCGGGUUGUUUGUGAUUGCAGCCCAAAACGAGUGGUAAACUCCAUCCAAGACUAAAUACUUGCACGAGUCCGGCACCGGACAAGUACUGUGAAA